rnacentral:rRNA from 1 species
AUGGAGUUGCGGUUUGCUUUCAUGGUGCACAUUAGAAGGGACCAGUACAUGUUCGAUGCAAAGGAUAAGAAGAAAUACCAAGGAGGUUUUGAUUAUCGGUUGCCAAUGGCUAGUAAUUGGAGUUUCAGACAAUUUGGGGAGGUAAUUUGUAGCCAAUAUCCUUGGGGUUUGCUUGAUGUAGUGGUAUACAAAUACUAUGAUGGGGAAAAGAAUUGGGUGACAGUUAGUAAUGAUGAAGAGCUAGCUACCAUGUUUGUUAGGCAUAAAGAGAAAGAUAAUUUUCAUGUGAGGCUGCAAGUUGAUGUGCUUGAGCAGGCAUUUGGACCUAGGAUGGCGAGUGCAACAUCUCGGGGAGAACCAAGUCGUCGUAAUGGCAUCUCUAGCCAGAACAGUUCAGUUGGUGCACAGCGACGUGGUGGCUCGACAAGUGUGGGCAACAGCAGUAGGGCCCCCCUUGAAGUGGAGCCUGAUGGCUACAAUUCUGGGGUUGAUGAAGAGAAGCUAUAUUCUGAUGUUAUUCAGAAUUUACGAUGGGCACCUCAGACUGAAAAUCAAGAUGAGGCUCACAAUGCAGUCCGUGUGGAUGAUGACGCGGUGGGUGAGGAUGAAGACCUUGCAGCUAUUGAAUGGGACCCUUUGAACCCUCAUAUGGAAGAAGGUACCGUUUUUGCAUCCAUGAAUGAGUGUAGAAAUGCACUUGUGACAUACUACAUCAAGGUAGAACGUACUUUCAAAGUUGACAAGAGUGAUCAAGUACGUUACAGAGUGCACUGUCCGACUGAAGGUUGUCCAUGGAGGCUGCUUGCAUCUAAAAUGCGGAAUAGCACUAAAUGUUCAGGUUAA